rnacentral:lncRNA from 1 species
CAGCUUACCGGAAAUUGGUUGUGCACUAGGCUGUGAAAUAUGUAAUCUCACAAAAUUUUCAUGCCCCAAUAUUUGUCAUGUACUCUGUUGAUCUGCAAUCUAAUAACAGUACUAUCAAGUUGCAAGGAUAUAUUGUGAUGUCUUUGCACCUUUAAUUUAACCAAGUAUUAUUUGCAAUGAGUGUAUUGUAACAAGAAUUCGAGUGUGCACCUACGAUGCAUGAGGACGCUACGAUGAAGAGCAGGCCCGGGAUUGGUCUGAAUCGUCUGGUUGCUGCUGCUGCUGGUCACUUAGAGAUUAAUCAUACCUCUCUCUCUCCCUCUCUGUCUCUCUCUUACAGUUUAUUUUUUUGUAGCUGGAAGUUGAUGUGCAACACAGAACGGAUGCUAUAGAUUAAAGAAAGGGCUAACCCCAAAUUUUAUUUCCGGAUAUUGAAUUAAAGCAACAAGUUUCUUUGAAGGUCAUCCAGAAAUCUUGAAUCCCAAGUCAAACAAUAAGAUGAUAGCUCAUUGCGAAGGGGUCCACUAGUUGAGAAGUAAAAUUUUGAGAGCAGCAAGCUGUGAUGGGAAGCCAGAGAGCUCAUAAGCAACCAAAAAAC